rnacentral:rRNA from 1 species
GACGAACGCUGGCGGCGUGCUUAACACAUGCAAGUCGUACGGUAAGGCCCUUUCGGGGGUACACAAGUGGCGCACGGGUGAGUAACACGUGAGUAACCUGCCCACAACUUUGGGAUAACGCUAGGAAACUGGUGCUAAUACUGGAUAUGUGCUCCUGCUGCAUGGUGGGGGUUGGAAAGCUCCGGCGGUUGUGGAUGGACUCGCGGCCUAUCAGCUUGUUGGUGGGGUAGUGGCCUACCAAGGCGGCGACGGGUAGCCGGCCUGAGAGGGUGACCGGCCACAUUGGGACUGAGAUACGGCCCAGACUCCUACGGGAGGCAGCAGUGGGGAAUAUUGCACAAUGGGCGCAAGCCUGAUGCAGCAACGCCGCGUGCGGGAUGACGGCCUUCGGGUUGUAAACCGCUUUCAGCAGGGACGAAGCUUUUUGUGACGGUACCUGCAGAAGAAGCACCGGCUAACUACGUG